rnacentral:rRNA from 1 species
UACGGGGGGAGCAAGCGUUGUUCGGAUUUACUGGGCGUAAAGGGCGCGUAGGCGGCCACCGCAAGUCGACUGUGAAAUCUCCGGGCUUAACCCGGAAAGGUCAGCCGAUACUGCGGGGCUAGAGUGCAGAAGGGGCAACUGGAAUUCUCGGUGUAGCGGUGAAGUGCGUAGAUAUCGAGAGGAACACCUGCGGCGAAGGCGGGUUGCUGGGCUGACACUGACGCUGAAGCGCGAAAGCUAGGGGAGCGAACGGG